rnacentral:rRNA from 1 species
UGUAUUCAUAUCAUUGUCUCAUAGAAUAAACCAAGCCUGUCUAAGUAUAAACUAAUCUAUACUGCCGUGCUGCGAAUGGCUCAUUAAAUCAGUUAUAGUUUAUUUGAUGGUACAUCCUACAUGGAGGAUUGUGGUAAUUUUAGAGCUAAUACAUCCAAUCAAGCCCCGACUUCCGGGAGGGGUGUAUUUAUUAGAUAAAAAACCACCACGGCUCGCCGCUUCCUUGGUGAUUCAUAAUAACUUCACGAAUCGCAUGGCCUUGUGCCGGCGACGGUCAUCAAAUAUCUGCCCUAUCACUUCGAUGUG